CACAAAUGGCGCCCAACGUGGUUAUAUUUUAGAUUUCUCUCAUUUAAGAACUGAACAUUAAUUUAAAAAAAUAAAAUAAAUGAGUAUUGAUGAUUGUUAAAGAUUGUGGAAAAUCUUUGGUUGUAUGGAGGACGUACAGCUUAUUCGGUAGCCAGUGGUCGGAGCAGUUGGCGUGUGCAGUGGAGCAAUCCAGGUGGCAUUCUGAGCGAUCAUUGGGAGCAACGAGCGAUUAUUUGUUGGGAGCGACGAGCGAUCUUUAGGAGCGAGUAGAACAUCAGUGCCUGCAAAGUGACUGGAGCGUGUGACAUUGACAUUACCGUGUGAUUGAGAAAAACACAUUUGUAUUUUCACAGCACUGGGCAUCAUCUGCAUUCAAGACUGGGGUCAUAAGCUGUCAUAGGAGGCCAAUCCACAAUUGGGCUUUGACAACUUUGCGACGCCUUUGUGAUUUCUCUGAGACGCUUAAAUAAGCUGUUUAUCAUAGUUAUUUCCAGAGAUUGUAUUACAAUUAUGUAAUCAUUAAAAGUUAUAGUGUUGAGGGAAAACUAAAUUAAAUGGACAUGUAAUGAA